UCUAAGGCUCUCCUCAGAGCCAUAAUUAAAAUAAUAGAAUGCAUAU
rfam:Stegodyphus mimosarum contig20876, whole genome shotgun sequence.